rnacentral:tRNA from 1 species
AAAUAAUGAAGUAAAAUAUUACAAUUAGUUUCGACCUAAAAUUAGGCUAAUUAAUAGCCCUUAUUUA